ensembl:lncRNA
AAUCUUCCAUUGUCAUAUCAUAGCUUAUAUUAAGAGACUGACAGUAAAUAUACUACAUAAAGUCCAUCUCACAUCAUUAAGACAUCAAACGUCUGAGCAUCAACACAGAGGAAGCGAUGAGCUCCGUUACUCAGUCGCUUCCUUCUUACGCGCUGUAAUUGAAAAGAGGCAUCAGGAGCAGAGGAAGGAGCGCUGUGUGACAGUGCUGCAGGAAAAGAGAUGGAAAGUCCGGCUUGUUAAAGGUCACCAGUAGCCAAUUCCCCCCCUGUCCCUCCCCGGGCCGCUCCUAUUGGCUGAUAGUAGUAAUCAUGACCUUUUCACACAAAGCCAAACCAGCACGUGUGCAAACAAACAUCUAAUCAUGAUGUAUGUCUCUGCAGGGGGAGCGAGGCACAGAUGGAGAUCCAGGGACUCCCGGUGUACCUGCCCAGGAACCCCCUGUGUUGUGUCUACAGCUGCAUAAUAGUCCAGCUUGCAGUACUUGGUUGUCCAUUAGAUGUCCCUCCUAGGACAGGCCUAUAGAUGUCCCUCCUAGGACAGGUCUAUAGCAGUGUCAAGAGCAGCUCAGCCUACAUGAGACACACUGUCAGGUCCAAAUGCAUCAGCAGUGAAUUGAAAAGUGAAGUGAAAGUAUUUUACUGCUGGAAUGACAAAUUUUCGUCUCCAGACAGACUUCCUAAUACUUACUGGGUAAAAUAAAUAUGAGCGUUUGCUCUACAGUGCGUUCUGUUCUCCUGGUGUCCUUCCUCAUUCUCUGUGUGUUCUCCUCCGAUCCGUUACGUCCACGUUAGGGGGAGUAGUAGGUCGACCCAAAUGCACAAGCACAGCAGUUUGAUUUGUAGCCAAUGAUUGUAUUUCCCAUACGACCUGGGAAGGGAAAAAGAAAAAACAAACAAGGCAAAUAGUCAAAAGGGGAACAGAAAGUGCUCUUCGGGCUCAACUGGAGUCGGGAGGGAAACUCCACCGACGUCUGUCAGGGGAUAAAGCAGUUCUGGUGUGGAAACCCGAGGCCCGACACCAUAACCAGAGUCUGAUUAAAAGGAGUCACGUGUACUCCGUGGGUCUGACACUGCAG